rnacentral:rRNA from 1 species
GAUGAACGCUGGCGGCGUGCCUAAUACAUGCAAGUCGAGCGAACGGACGAGAAGCUUGCUUCUCUGAUGUUAGCGGCGGACGGGUGAGUAACACGUGGAUAACCUACCUAUAAGACUGGGAUAACUUCGGGAAACCGGAGCUAAUACCGGAUAAUAUUUUGAACCGCAUGGUUCAAAAGUGAAAGACGGUCUUGCUGUCACUUAUAGAUGGAUCCGCGCUGCAUUAGCUAGUUGGUAAGGUAACGGCUUACCAAGGCAACGAUGCAUAGCCGACCUGAGAGGGUGAUCGGCCACACUGGAACUGAGACACGGUCCAGACUCCUACGGGAGGCAGCAGUAGGGAAUCUUCCGCAAUGGGCGAAAGCCUGACGGAGCAACGCCGCGUGAGUGAUGAAGGUCUUCGGAUCGUAAAACUCUGUUAUUAGGGAAGAACAUAUGUGUAAGUAACUGUGCACAUCUUGACGGUACCUAAUCAGAAAGCCACGGCUAACUACGUGCCAGCAGCCGCGGUAAUACGUAGGUGGCAAGCGUUAUCCGGAAUUAUUGGGCGUAAAGCGCGCGUAGGCGGUUUUUUAAGUCUGAUGUGAAAGCCCACGGCUCAACCGUGGAGGGUCAUUGGAAACUGGAAAACUUGAGUGCAGAAGAGGAAAGUGGAAUUCCAUGUGUAGCGGUGAAAUGCGCAGAGAUAUGGAGGAACACCAGUGGCGAAGGCGACUUUCUGGUCUGUAACUGACGCUGAUGUGCGAAAGCGUGGGGAUCAAACAGGAUUAGAUACCCUGGUAGUCCACGCCGUAAACGAUGAGUGCUAAGUGUUAGGGGGUUUCCGCCCCUUAGUGCUGCAGCUAACGCAUUAAGCACUCCGCCUGGGGAGUACGACCGCAAGGUUGAAACUCAAAGGAAUUGACGGGGACCCGCACAAGCGGUGGAGCAUGUGGUUUAAUUCGAAGCAACGCGAAGAACCUUACCAAAUCUUGACAUCCUUUGACAACUCUAGAGAUAGAGCCUUCCCCUUCGGGGGACAAAGUGACAGGUGGUGCAUGGUUGUCGUCAGCUCGUGUCGUGAGAUGUUGGGUUAAGUCCCGCAACGAGCGCAACCCUUAAGCUUAGUUGCCAUCAUUAAGUUGGGCACUCUAAGUUGACUGCCGGUGACAAACCGGAGGAAGGUGGGGAUGACGUCAAAUCAUCAUGCCCCUUAUGAUUUGGGCUACACACGUGCUACAAUGGACAAUACAAAGGGUAGCGAAACCGCGAGGUCAAGCAAAUCCCAUAAAGUUGUUCUCAGUUCGGAUUGUAGUCUGCAACUCGACUACAUGAAGCUGGAAUCGCUAGUAAUCGUAGAUCAGCAUGCUACGGUGAAUACGUUCCCGGGUCUUGUACACACCGCCCGUCACACCACGAGAGUUUGUAACACCCGAAGCCGGUGGAGUAACCUUUUAGGAGCUAGCCGUCGAAGGUGGGACAAAUGAUUGGGGUGAAGUCGUAACAAGGUAGCCGUAUCGGAAGG